rnacentral:misc_RNA from 1 species
AAAAUCUUGCAUGAGGUAUCUGAGAUUUUGGCCAAGUCUUACUUUUAGCCAGUAGGCUUAUAUUUCUUUCUAGUCUAGUCCCCAACGUUGUAUUCAUGCAACUGGAUCCUUGAAUUUCAAAUUUACUUCAAUUUUGUCUUAAACUUCAAAACUAAUUCCAUGACAAAAACAAAACUUUGAUUCUUUUGAUGGAAUGUGAUUUAUCCUGAGGUAUUAUAACAAGAUAUUCAUUAGUAGUUCUCUUUUAUUGAUUAGGUCUGGUUUUCAAUGUAGGUCUAUGGGUGGCUUGGCUUCAACUUGAGAUCAAAAUAA